rnacentral:rRNA from 1 species
AACGAACGCUGGCGGCAUGCCUAACACAUGCAAGUCGAACGAGACCUACGGGUCUAGUGGCGCACGGGUGCGUAACGCGUGGGAACCUGCCUUUAGGUUCGGAAUAACUCAGAGAAAUUUGAGCUAAUACCGGAUGAUGUCUUCGGCCCAAAGAUUUAUCGCCUUUAGAUGGGCCCGCGUUGGAUUAGCUAGUUGGUGGGGUAAAGGCCUACCAAGGCGACGAUCCAUAGCUGGUCUGAGAGGAUGAUCAGCCACACUGGGACUGAGACACGGCCCAGACACCUACGGGAGGCAGCAGUGGGGAAGAUUGGACAAUGGGCGAAAGCCUGAUCCAGCAAUGCCGCGUGAGUGAUGAAGGCCUUAGGGUUGUAAAGCCCUUUUACCCGAGAUGAUAAUGACAGUAUCGGGAGAAUAAGCUCCGGCUAACUCCGUG